rnacentral:rRNA from 1 species
ACCAGACUCCUACGGGAGGCAGCAGUGGGGAAUAUUGCACAAUGGGGGAAACCCUGAUGCAGCGACGCCGCGUGAGUGAAGAAGUAUUUCGGUAUGUAAAGCUCUCUCAGCAGGGAAGAAAAUGACGGUACCUGACUAAGAAGCCCCGGCUAACUACGUGCCAGCAGCUGCGGUAAUACGUAGGGGGCAAGCGUUAUCCGGAUUUACUGGGUGUAAAGGGAGCGUAGACGGUGAUGCAAGUCAGAAGUGAAAGCCCGGGGCUCAACUCCGGGACUGCUUUUGAAACUGUGUAACUGGAGUGCAGGAGAGGUAAGCGGAAUUCCUAGUGUAGCGGUGAAAUGCGUAGAUAUUAGGAGGAACACCAGUGGCGAAGGCGGCUUACUGGACUGUAACUGACGUUGAGGCUCGAAAGCGUGGGGAGCAAACAGGAUUAGAUACCCCAGUAC